rnacentral:rRNA from 1 species
GACGAACGCUGGCGGCGUGCUUAACACAUGCAAGUCGAACGGAAAGGCCCUGCUUUUGUGGGGUGCUCGAGUGGCGAACGGGUGAGUAACACGUGGGUAACCUGCCCUUGACUUUGGGAUAACUUCAGGAAACUGGGGCUAAUACCGGAUAGGAGCUCCUGCUGCAUGGUGGGGGUUGGAAAGUUUCGGCGGUUGGGGAUGGACUCGCGGCUUAUCAGCUUGUUGGUGGGGUAGUGGCUUACCAAGGCUUUGACGGGUAGCCGGCCUGAGAGGGUGACCGGCCACAUUGGGACUGAGAUACGGCCCAGACUCCUACGGGAGGCAGCAGUGGGGAAUAUUGCACAAUGGGCGGAAGCCUGAUGCAGCAACGCCGCGUGCGGGAUGACGGCCUUCGGGUUGUAAGCCGCUUUCGCCUGUGACGAAGCGUGAGUGACGGUAAUGGGUAAAGAAGCACCGGCUAACUACGUG